UGAAGACCAUAGCUGCUCUUACUACCUUCGUUAUUUGUACUUUUUUUUUGUGUAAAGGUGCGGAAGCGAAUGUUAAACAGUGUUAUUACUGCUUACUCAGAUGCGAUGAUCCUAUAGCAAUCAGAAAUUGUUCCAACGUAGAGGGAGAUACAUUGACAUACAGCUGUAUAACACAAGCAUUUUCACAAGAUGGUGUUGAAGUGGAAAAUAAAGGUUGUAUACUAGCUAAUGACAAAACUCAAGUUGUUGCAUGUGACGCCAUAGAAGCACAAGAUGGAGGUCACUGUAAUAUCUGUGACGAAGAUUUGUGUAAUUCAGGAAACAUAUACACAUUUACUUUUGUUUUACUAUCCGCAAUGAUAAUUCUUUGUAAAAUGUUGUAAAUUACUUCAUUAAUAAUAAUCUUUAAUAAAAUUAGUACAUAGAAAAA